rnacentral:rRNA from 1 species
CCCUUAUAUGUCCUGGGCCGCACGCGCGCUACACUGACAUGUUCAACAAGCCUCCUAGUUCGACAGGAUUUGGGAAAUCUUUGAACGCAUGUCGUGAUAGGGAUAGAUCAUUGCAAUUAUUGAUCUUGAACGAGGAAUUCCUAGUAAACGCGAGUCAUCAGCUCGCAUUGAUUACGUCCCUGCCCUUUGUACACACCGCCCGUCGCACCUACCGAUUGAAUGUUUCGGUGAAGAUUCCGGAUAGGACUUUUUUGAUUUAUUUCAAUUUUGUCUUAAAAGCUAUCUAAACCUCAACAUUUAGAGGAAGGUGAAGUCGUAACA